UACGUAGGGUGCAAGCGUUAAUCGGAAUUACUGGGCGUAAAGCGUGCGCAGGCGGUUCUAUAAGACCGAUGUGAAAUCCCCGGGCUUAACCUGGGAACUGCAUUGGUGACUGCAUUGCUGGAGUAUGGCAGAGGGGGGUGGAAUUCCACGUGUAGCAGUGAAAUGCGUAGAGAUGUGGAGGAACACCGAUGGCGAAGGCAGCCCCCUGGGCCAAUACUGACGCUCAUGCACGAAAGCGUGGGGAGCAAACAGG
rnacentral:rRNA from 1 species